GGACCUGUAGUUCAAUGGAUACCUGCCUGCCAUACCUACGGCAGGUAAACCGGCAGGCAGGGAAUAGAAGUUUCCUAAACUUUAGAUACAAGUUCCCUUCCACUUCGUUGGCAGGCAGGGAUUCUUGUCGGGGCUA
rnacentral:tRNA from 2 species